UCCAGACUCCUACGGGAGGCAGCAGUGGGGGAUAUUGCACAAUGGGGGGAACCCUGAUGCAGCGACGCCGCGUGGGUGAAGGAGCGUUUCGGCGCGUAAAGCCCUAUCGGCAGGGAAGAAGGAGGACGGUACCUGACUAAGAAGCCCCGGCUAACUACGUGCCAGCAGCCGCGGUAAUACGUAGGGGGCAAGCGUUAUCCGGAUUUACUGGGUGUAAAGGGGGCGCAGACGGCAGCGCAAGCCAGGAGUGAAAGCCCGGGGCCCAACCCCGGGACUGCUCUUGGAACUGCGCGGCUGGAGUGCAGGAGGGGCAGGCGGAAUUCCUGGUGUAGCGGUGAAAUGCGUAGAUAUCAGGAGGAACACCGGCGGCGAAGGCGGCCUGCUGGACCGUAACUGACGUUGAGGCCCGAAAGCGUGGGGAGCAAACAGGAUUAGAUACCCUCGUAAA
rnacentral:rRNA from 1 species